GACGAACUGUCCUAACGUUGUUCGGAAUCACUGGGCUUAAAGGGCGCGUAGGCGGUCCAACAAGUCAGGGGUGAAAUCCUGCAGCUCAACUGCAGAAGUGCCUCUGAUACUGUUGGUCUUGAGGGAAAUAGGGGUGUGCGGAACUUCCAGUGGAGCGGUGAAAUGCGUUGAUAUUGGAAGGAACGCCGGAGGCGAAAGCGGCGCACUGGAUUUCUUCUGACGCUGAGGCGCGAAAGCCAGGGGAGCAAACGGG
rnacentral:rRNA from 1 species